GAUUUUUUCUGUUUUAGAAAUAUUAGUUUGGAAGUAUUGUUAUUCUUUUGUAUGAGAAUAUGAGAUUGAUGAUGUUUUGUUUUUACUAUAUGUGGAUAGUGCUCAAUGUCAUUCUGUUGUGGUGGUUUAGGCUUUAAUCAGUGAAUAGGGGACUUUAUUAUUGAAUUCAUUCUUAUUGCGUUCAUUUAUUAUUUGUUUGUUAGUGGGUUUUUAAGGAAAUAGAUGCUAGGGUUGUCUUACACUCUUACUACAAUUGCAUGAAACAAAUAUCAUAUAAAUGAAAAAUGAGUUCAAGUUGAACUGAGAUAGUAGACGCGCUCUUAGAUUUUUAUUUUAUGAAGGCCGAGUGAGUAUGAUUCUAUCAAAAUGAUUGUUGAAAAUGUCAAGGAUACAAGUAGCCUUGCCAUUUAAUGGUAUUAGUUAUAAUUACACUCACUCUAAGGCACGAAGUGCUGAUUGUAUUCUUAGGCUGCAACCUCUCUUUUUACUGGGACAUGACUCUCCUAUUGUACUCUCCUACCAGAGUCUGUGUUACUAACUAACAGUCUGGGCUUAUUCUUAGGCUGCAACCUCUCUUUUUACUGGGACAUGACUCUCCUAUUGUACUCUCCUACCAGAGUCUGUGUUACUAACUAACAGUCUGGGCUUAGACCUUGACAUACUUUAUUUUCAUUGUUCCUAAAGCUUGUUGCUAGACUAUCUUAUUUUCGACUACAUAAUUAAAAUUUAAAAAAGAGAUGUAACACUUGAUACUAGUGCAAUAGUUAUUACUAGCCUACCAAUAGUUCUCAACACUGAACUACAAUUUAUACUCAAUUACGAGCUAGGAAGCUGCUAUCAUUCCCAGCCAGUAGAGUAUCAUUUUGGUUAACCCUGUGGACAAAUAGUGUGCCACGUGGACGUGGUAAUUUUGAAAAACACAAUUUAACUUGAAUUUUGUCACCAAUAUGUGAGUCUAUUUGUUUGUUUAUGAAACACAACCACCACUCCAGCAAAGAACAAUGAUGGGAGAACUUCAGGACUGUUCCGUUCAUGACAUUUGCUUCAUCGGAAUACUGUUAUACUAGGGACCUAGUCAUGGAGUUUGAGGUUGUAUUGUUGUAGAGAAUUUGUUUUUCUUUUGCUAGGGACAAGUCGUCUUUUUGAAUUUUUUCUUUGUUGGUAUUGAUUUGUAUAUUCUGUUUACUAAUUGGUUACCACUCAAAAAAUAAAAUUAAUAAGAAUAAUAGAAAAAAAGUAAUGCACACCAGAACUCGUUUUCAAACCUUAAGUAUCAUGGCUAGAUGAUUUUUUUUUCAUAGUAAGAAAUAUUUAAAAGAAUAAAAUUUUGAAGAUUGCUCGUUACAAUAUGCAAAUUCUUGUUUGGUUGGUUUACGCUGUUUAUAGUUUAUACUUUCUGUGAUUUGAUGUCCAAAGAAGGAAUGUGCUUUUGCUUUGUAUUAUGUCUUAAUACGUCUUCACUAACUUGGACAUAAAGGGUUAAGGUCAUUCGGAGUGAGAUCAUGGCCCCAACAUUUGUUAUGAUUAUGUUUUGGUGUACAUGUUUUAACAAAUUUUCCAUGUUAAUUGGCUUAGGUAUCGUCUAUAGAAUUUUUAUGCUUGUUGUCAAGAGGAAUCAAUGAGAAAAUUGGUUUCUUUCACCUGAUGUCUAAUUAGUGUGUCUUUGUGCAUGUCAAA
rnacentral:lncRNA from 1 species